rfam:Exidia glandulosa HHB12029 unplaced genomic scaffold EXIGLscaffold_505, whole genome shotgun sequence.
GCCUUGCUAGCUCAAUCGGUAGAGCGUGAGACUCUUAAUCUCAAGGCUGCGGGUUCGACCCCCGCGUGAGGCU